AUGUUCUCCGUUCAAAAUCUGCCCUCACAGAGCUGCUGCAACUCCACGUGCUUUCCCCAACAUACUUCGCCACCUUGUCUCCCUCGUCUUUCCCUUCUGAAGGAAGGAGCUCCUGAAACGGACUGUUUUGUCAAGAUGGGCUGCCCCACUAGAAUGCUGACCCACAGGGCCGGCCAAGGGACUCGCUGCUGGACCACUCCCACCGUUGCCCUUUACGCGUCCAUGGGAAACAUUUGCAGGCUAUUCCCCAGUGGCCCGGACAGGGCGUCUCAAAGGUAUCCAGUGAAUCUGCGACCACUGCCUACUGCAUUGGAGAUCUGGGACACGUGUCUUGUAUUGUCUUCCUGA
rnacentral:lncRNA from 1 species